rnacentral:rRNA from 1 species
UACGGGGGGGGCAAGCGUUGUUCGGAAUUACUGGGCGUAAAGGGCUCGUAGGCGGCCAACUAAGUCGGAUGUGAAAUCCCCAGGCUUAACCUGGGAACUGCAUCCGAUACUGGAUGGCUUGAAUCCGGGAGAGGGAUGCAGAAUUCCAGGUGUAGCGGUGAAAUGCGUAGAUAUCUGGAGGAAUACCGGUGGCGAAGGCGGCAUCCUGGACCGGCAUUGACGCUGAGACGCGAAAGCGUGGGGAGCAAACAGGG